AAAGAUAUAAAACACUGAAGGCAGGACCAGCGGGUUGUUGCUUGCCCGCUUGAGCUGAUGGCUGAGUAAACCUUUUGAAACUACAUCUCUCUGUCAACUCCACUCCUUCGUUAUCCGGGGACGCCCGAAGACUGCAGGCAAUUGGGAUUAAGUUUAGGUCACACAGCAGCAACUGGAAGCCAAGCACAAAUUUCAUAUAUUACAAGCCCUGGAGACUGUUAUCACCUCAGGCCCUUUCCUCAGUGCACAUUGGCUCCAAACCUUCACCAGAUUGGCCCUGAAGCACGUGAUUCAGGUUACGAGCACCAGGGCCACCCCAAAUGCCCCCAGGCUGCAUUGACAAGGCUGGUGCAAGUAUGGGCUGGUGAGAGCUUCAGUGCCCUCAUCUCCACAGGAGAUAUAGCUGGGGAAGAGGAAGUGGAAGAGGAGGAAGAGGAGGACAAGGAGGAGGCAGAGGAGGAGGAAGAAGAAGAAGAUGAGGAGGAAGAAAGAGGAGGAGAAGGAGAAAGAGGAAGAGGCGGUGGAGGAGGAAGAGGAAAUACAUGUGCAGGGGCAGUUCCCACCUCCACGCCUGCAGCAUCCAUCCCCCUAUCUUCUAGUGAUCCCAUCUCAUGGCUCUCUCUGGGCCUGCUCCUCACUGGACAUUGCUCUGCUGGCCUCCCUAGGCCUGUUGGCCUGCCUGAGCCUUUUGGGCUUUGCUAGCCUCCCCAGGCUUCACUGAUAUUACUUUAUUAGUCUCAGCAUCUCUGCUGGACAUUGCUCCCUACUACCCUCUUCUGGGCUCAUCUCUUCAGGGCCAGCAAAAUCAUAUCAACUUUAGGUCAAGCUGACAGAUCCUGCCUAUACCCAGUUAACAAAAGUUAGCUAGAGCUCCCCCAGGAUAAGAUUAGGUCUUUCCUUUUUGACCCUUCCAUCUCCCUAAAUAUCAAAUCUUUAUAUUACAAAUAAAUUAUAUAACUCAGUGUUCCA
rnacentral:lncRNA from 1 species